rnacentral:snRNA from 1 species
GUGCUUGCUUUGGCAGCACAUAUACUAAAAUUGGAACGAUAUAGAGAAGAUUAGCAUGGCCCCUGCGCAAGGAUGACACACAAAUUUGUGAAGCGUUCCAUAUUUUA